AUAAGUAUUAUGCAACUUAUAUCGAUGAAACUGCGAAUGGCUUCAUUAACUCAGUUAUCGUUUAUUUGAUAGUACCUUACUACUGCGAUAUCCGUGGUAAUUCUAGAGCUAAUACAUGCUAAAAACCCCAUCUUCGAUAGGUGUGUAUUAUUAGAUAAAAAACCAACGCCCUUCGAGGCUCCGCGGUGAUUCAUAAUAACUAAACGAAUCGCAUGCUCUUGCGCCGGCGAUGGUUCAUUCAAAUUUCUGCCCGAUCAACGUUCGAUGGUAGGAUAGUGGCCUACCAUGGUAUCAACGGGUAACGAGAAUAUAGGGUUCUAUUCCGCAGAGGGAGCCUGAGAAACCGGCGUCCACAUACAAGGAAGGCAGCAGGCGCGCAAAGUUCCCGAUCGCGA
rnacentral:rRNA from 1 species